rnacentral:rRNA from 1 species
CUCGUAGGCGGCUUGUCGCGUCGACUGUGAAAACUCGGGGCUCAACUCCGAGCUUGCAGUCGAUACGGGCAGGCUAGAGUUCGGUAGGGGAGACUGGAAUUCCUGGUGUAGCGGUGAAAUGCGCAGAUAUCAGGAGGAACACCGGUGGCGAAGGCGGGUCUCUGGGCCGAUACUGACGCUGAGGAGCGAAAGCGUGGGGAGCGAACA